rnacentral:rRNA from 1 species
CAGGGAAUCUUCCACAAUGGACGCAAGUCUGAUGGAGCAACGCCGCGUGAGUGAAGAAGGUCUUCGGAUCGUAAAACUCUGUUGUUAGAGAAGAACACGAGUGAGAGUAACUGUUCAUUCGAUGACGGUAUCUAACCAGCAAGUCACGGCUAACUACGUGCAG